AGCACCAGUUGAAGCUGUAGCUGUACCAGUUGAGGCUUCAGUACCUAGUGAAGUCUCCGCACCAGCUGAAUCUUCAGCACCCGUUGCUGCUGCUGCUGAGCCUUUAAUAGAUCCAGCGAUUGCUGUGGCAACUAUUCCAGUGAUGCCUCCAGUAUCUGCAGGUGAAGCCCAAGCUGAGCCUCAGCCUGCUGCUGAACAGGUCACAGAACCUGCUGCGGCCCCAGCUGAGAUUGCCCCACCAGCGGAGGCUCCAGCAUCCACACCAGUGGUUUCAGAAGCCUCAGUAGAAGUAGCCCCAGAAGCUCCACCAGCAACUGUUACUUCAGAGUCAGCGGCAGACACUGCAGCCCCAGUAGUUGAACCAACCCCAGCAGCCCCUGAACCCUCCACUGAAGUGGUGGACACAGAGAGCGAGAAAGCCAAAAAGGAGGACUGAGUUGGAAGAAGAGAUUCACCGAAAUAACAAAAAACCCCAAAACUACAAAUAUAAAGGCAACUGGAGGAAAAAGCAACAAAACAAACACUACAUUUUCAGUAUUGUCUUAUCAGCUCUCACCAAACCAUACACCACAUACAUUAAUACGCACAGUGCCUUAACACGUCAUUGAGAAAAGAUCAGGAUUCUUCCUACAUUUGUAAAUAUAAACCUUUACGAUUCGUUUUUCUACUGAGACCUUAAAGUGCCUGGAGCCACAUACUGCACGUGUAACAUCUGUACUGAAAGUACUAUGAAAACACACGGGACAGAUAACAUGAGACAAGAAGGGUGCAAUACUCUGUGAAAUCCGUGAACUCUUCAUGUAGAGGUUGUUAACUCAUCAGAGACUAGAGUGGCAGUACGUUGAAGUGUAGUCAAGGAUACGUGCAGGAAAAUCCUUAACUAUUUAAAGUAGCUGCUUCUAUGAGGAAUACAAGCCAAACACAACUGUGAAUGAAAUGAUGUAAAGAGCUUAAAGGAAACAGACACACCAAACAGCGUGAAUGAUAAACACAUAGAUAUUAUUUAAAAGAUCAUAAUUAUGACGUAGAAGUUUUAGUGUAAAUUCUGCCAUAAUACCACGUCUUCAUCUGGUGUUUACACAAUAUCUUAAGAGCAGCCUUUCUAAUA